GAAACUUACAGGUUUCUACUAUGACCAGGGCCUCUUGUGCCAAUUGCUACCUAUACCCUGGCCUUGGCUGCCAUCUGCUCUUUGGCUAAAAUGCCUGAAUUUCUGCCCAGGUAUAGAUUUCUAUCUCCACCUACUUAAGACUUAUGGUCUUGAAGGCAUCUAUAGAGCCAACUGCCACAACAUUUCAGGAACAGGGCGGAGAAAAGGUCAGAACUCAGCUUUGCCCAAGUCUUCCGGAUGGUGAGUCCUGGCAACUGACAUCACAGUGCUCCUGAAUGAUCGCCAUAACAUAUUGAUAUUCGCACCAGCACAAGAUUUGGAACAAUUUUGCCAGCAGAAAAUAUGACUCUCUUCCCUACUAGGGCAAAAUGGUCCAACCACAAUGGCAGGAGCCAUAGAAUGUGACCAGCUGUUUUGGUGGUUUUCUGUUACUAUUUGUGAAGUCUUCAUUCUUGUCAUCUGCCGGCAGAAGAGUGGUGGCCGUUGCCAGAGGUUGGAGGAAAAAAUCAUGGGAGAGUUUACAUUCGAGAAAAUUCCAUUCAUUGACUUCAUUAUUUCUGGGAAUUCAGAAAAGACCACCAUGAUCCUUUAGCCGCGAAAAUGCUGGGGCUGGCUUUGGAAACUGCUAGGAUUCGUCGGCAGGCGCAGCUUGGUUUUGAGAAGUCCUGCCCUGUGCCAUCUUGUAGCCUGAAUAUUUUGCCUGUGUGCUAAGUUUUUGAAAUAUGAAGUAGUGCUAUAGCUAUAUAGGGUGAAAAUAACACCGAAAAUGAGAAUAAUUAAAACUGGAGGAGCAGUGAUAAAUCUUAAAGUCAUUACCCUGCCACAUUGAUCCUUAUAUGUCAAUGUUUCCUGUUUUGUUUUAUCCUUCCAGCUCUCAUCAUUAUGCAGUUAUUAAUUUUUUUUAUUUUUAAUGCAGCAGCAAUUACAUAAAUUCUGUUUUCUGCUUUUCCUGCUUGACGCUGCAACAUAACUAUUUUUCCAUGUUGUUAUGCAGGCCUCAUAAUCAAGUUCAUGGGCUGUAUAAUUCACUGGUGAGAUGUAUGAUCGUUUAUUUAAACCUUGCUAUUGGCCGUUUCAGUCACAUGAUGUUGUUAUAAACGGAAUGAGCAACAGUGUCAGUGGGAGUGUGAAGUGGUACAGUCCUUUUGGGAAAGCAAUUUGGCAAUGUGUAUCACAGGCCUGAAAAAUGUUCAUUGCCUUAGAGCUAGUCAUUUCUCUUCUGGGAAUUUCUCAUAAGGAAAUAAUCUAAAGUGCAGACCCGGAUUUAUGCAUCAAGAUGGAAACUUUAUGUAUCAUAGAGGAAAGCUUGAAACAACUAAAUAUUCAAACAUAGGGGAAGCAUUAUGUAAAUGAUUACAUAGCAGCUCCAUGGAAUAUUAUGCAGUCAUUAAAACUGUUUAUGAAGAGCUCAUAAAUGGAAAAUGCUGAUGUCAUGAUUGAAAUA